UACGGAGGAUCCAAGCGUUGUCCGGAUUUAUUGGGUUUAAAGGGUGCGUAGGCGGCCCGUUAAGUCAGUGGUGAAAGCCUCCAGCUCAACUGGAGAACUGCCAUUGAUACUGACGGGCUUGAGUACAGACGAGGUUGGCGGAAUUGAUAGUGUAGCGGUGAAAUGCAUAGAUACUAUCAAGAACUCCGAUUGCGUAGGCAGCUAACUAGGCUGUAACUGACGCUGAGGCACGAAAGCGUGGGGAGCGAACAGG
rnacentral:rRNA from 1 species